rnacentral:rRNA from 1 species
CCUACGGGGGGCAGCAGUGGGGAAUUUUGGACAAUGGGCGCAAGCCUGAUCCAGCCAUGCCGCGUGUGGGAAGAAGGCCUUCGGGUUGUAAACCACUUUUGUCAGGGAAGAAACGGUCUGAUCUAAUAAAUCGGACUAAUGACGGUACCUGAAGAAUAAGCACCGGCUAACUACGUGCCAGCAGCCGCGGUAAUACGUAGGGUGCAAGCGUUAAUCGGAAUUACUGGGCGUAAAGCGUGCGCAGGCGGCUAUGCAAGACAGAUGUGAAAUCCCCGGGCUCAACCUGGGAACUGCAUUUGUGACUGCAUGGCUAGAGUACGGUAGAGGGGGAUGGAAUUCCGCGUGUAGCAGUGAAAUGCGUAGAUAUGCGGAGGAACACCGAUGGCGAAGGCAAUCCCCUGGACCUGUACUGACGCUCAUGCACGAAAGCGUGGGGAGCAAACAGGAUUAGAUACCCCGGUAGUC